UACAUGGGGUGCAAACGUUGCUCGGAAUUAUUGGGCGUAAAGCGCACGUAGGCGGUUUGUUAAGUCGGAUGUGAAAUCCCUCGGCUCAACUGAGGAAGUGCAUCCGAAACUGGCAGGCUUGAGUACUAAAGAGGGUCGCGGAAUUCCCGGUGUAGAGGUGAAAUUCGUAGAUAUCGGGAGGAACACCGGUGGCGAAGGCAGGUCUCUGGGCUGACACUGACGCUCAUGCACGAAAGCGUGGGGAGCAAACAGG
rnacentral:rRNA from 1 species